GUGGAUUAGGUACCCUAGUAGUCCACACUGUAAACGAUGGAUACUAGGUGUGGGAGGUUUCGACGCCUUCCGUGCCGGAGUUAACACAAUAAGUAUCCCACCUGGGGAGUACGGCCGCAAGGUUGAAACUCAAAGGAAUUGACGGGGGCCCGCACAAGCAGUGGAGUAUGUGGUUUAAUUCGACGCAACGCGAAGAACCUUACCAGGACUUGACAUCCCUGGAAUCCUGUAGAGAUACGGGAGUGCCUUCGGGAAUCAGGUGACAGGUGGUGCACGGUCGUCGCCAACU
rnacentral:rRNA from 1 species